AUCUAAUGUGGCAGAAUAGUGCAAUGAAUUUAAGAUUCAUAUAUAAAAUUAAAUUUCUCUAGA
rnacentral:tRNA from 1 species